GACGAACGCUGGCGGCGUGCCUAAUACAUGCAAGUCGAGCGCAGGAAAUCGACGGAACCCUUCGGGGGGAAGUCGACGGAAUGAGCGGCGGACGGGUGAGUAACACGUAAAGAACCUGCCCUCAGGUCUGGGAUAACCACGAGAAAUCGGGGCUAAUGCCGGAUGGGUCAUCGGACCGCAUGGUCCGAGGAUGAAAGGCGCUUCGGCGUCGCCUGGGGAUGGCUUUGCGGUGCAUUAGCUAGUUGGUGGGGUAAUGGCCCACGAAGGCGACGAGGCAUAGCCGACCUGGGAGGGUGAUCGGCCACACUGGGACUGAGACACGGCCCAGACUCCUACGGGAGGCAGCAGUAGGGAAUCUUCCACAAUGGACGAAAGUCUGAUGGAGCAACGCCGCGUGAACGAUGAAGGCCUUCGGGUCGUAGAGUUCUGUUGUAAGGGAAGAACAAGUGCCGCAGGCAAUGGCGGCACCUUGACGGUACCUUGCGAGAAAGCCACGGCUAACUACGUGCCAGCCGCCGCAGUAA
rnacentral:rRNA from 1 species